UGAAUACGAGACGCUAAGGCGUCGAAGUAGUGUAUGUCAUACUUCCAAGAGAAGCUUGCACUGUCAUAGAUAAAAAACGCCUGUACCAUAACCGACACAGGUGGGUAGGUAGAGUAUACUAAGGGGCGCGAGAUAACUCUCUCUAAGGAACUCGGCAAAAUAACUCCGUAACUUCGGGAGAAGGAGUGCCUUAUUCGUAAGGUUGCAAUAACAAGAUCCAAGCAACUGUUUAUCGAAAACACAGGUCUCCGCUAAGUCGUAAGACGAUGUAUGGGGGCUGACGCCUGCCCAGUGCCAGAAGGUUAAAGAAGUUGGUUAGCAAUUGCGAAGCUGAUAACUGAAGCCCUGGUGAACAGCGGCCGUAACAAUAACGGUCCUAAGGUAGCGAAAUUCCUUGUCGGGUAAGUUCCGACCCGCACGAAAGGCGUAAUGAUUUGGAUACUGUCUCGGAGAGGGGCUCGGUGAAAUAGACUUGUCUGUGAAGAUGCGGACUACCUGCACCAGGACAGAAAGACCCUAUGAAGCUUUACUGUAACUUGAAAUUGAAAUUGGACUUUAUUCGCGCAGUAUAGGUGGGAGGCGUUGAUUAAAAUCUUGUGGGAUUAUUGGAGCCAUCAGUGAGAUACCACUCUUGUAAUGUUAGAUUUCUAACUUUGAAUCAUUAUCUGGUCAAAGAACAGUUUCAGGCGGGCAGUUUGACUGGGGCGGUCGCCUCCUAAACGGUAACGGAGGCGUACAAAGGUUUCCUCUGAACGGUUAGAAAUCGUAUCUAGAGUGUAAAGGCAUAAGGAAGCUUGACUGUGAGACCUACAAGUCGAGCAGGGACGAAAGUCGGUCUUAGUGAUCUGACGGUACUGAGUGGAAAGGCCGUCACUCAACGGAUAAAAGUUACUCUAGGAUAACAGGCUGAUCUCCCCCAAGAGUUCACAUCGACGGGGAGGUUUGGCACCUCGAUGUCGGCUCAUCGCAUCCUGGGGCGGUAGUACGUCCCAAGGGUUGGGCUGUUCGCCCAUGAAAGCGGUACGCGAGCUGGGUUCAGAACGUCGUGAGACAGUUCGGUCCAUAUCCGGUGUAGGCGUUAGAAUAUUGAGAGGAGCCUUCUUUAGUACGAGAGGACCGAGAAGGACAUACCUCUGGUGUACCAGUUAUCGUGCCAACGGUAAACGCUGGGUAGCUAUGUAUGGAGUGGAUAACCGCUGAAAGCAUCUAAGUGGGAAGCCCACCUCAAGAUAAGUAUUCUCA
rnacentral:rRNA from 1 species